rnacentral:rRNA from 1 species
AUUGAACGCUGGCGGCAGGCCUAACACAUGCAAGUCGAGCGGAUGAAGGGAGCUUGCUCCUGGAUUCAGCGGCGGACGGGUGAGUAAUGCCUAGGAAUCUGCCUGGUAGUGGGGGAUAACGUCCGGAAACGGGCGCUAAUACCGCAUACGUCCUGAGGGAGAAAGUGGGGGAUCCUCGGACCUCACGCUAUCAGAUGAGCCUAGGUCGGAUUAGCUAGAUGGUGGGGUAAAGGCCUACCAAGGCGACGAUCCGUAACUGGUCUGAGAGGAUGAUCAGUCACACUGGAACUGAGACACGGUCCAGACUCCUACGGGAGGCAGCAGUGGGGAAUAUUGGACAAUGGGCGAAAGCCUGAUCCAGCCAUGCCGCGUGUGUGAAGAAGGUCUUCGGAUUGUAAAGCACUUUAAGUUGGGAGGAAGGGCAGUAAGUUAAUACCUUGCUGUUUUGACGUUACCAACAGAAUAAGCACCGGCUAACUUCGUG